rnacentral:rRNA from 1 species
AUUGAACGCUGGCGGCAGGCCUAACACAUGCAAGUCGAGCGGAGCGGCGGACGGGUGAGUACUGCCUAGGAAUCUGCCUGGUCGUGGGGGAUACCGUCCGGAACCGGGCGCUCAUACCGCAUACUAUCAGAUGAGCCUCGGUCGGAUUAGCUAGUUGGUGGGGUACCGGCAUACCAAGGCGACGAUCCGUAACUGGGCUGAGAGGAUGAUCAGUCACACUGUAACUGAGACACGGUCCAGACUCCUACGGGAGGCAGCAGUGGGGAAUAUGGGACAAUGGGCGAAAGCCUGAUCCAGCCAUGCCGCGUGUGUGAAGAAGGUCUUCGGAUUGUAAAGAACUUUAAGUUGGGAGGCGUUACCAACAGAAUAAGCACCGGCUAACUUCGUGCCAGCAGCCGCGGUAAUUC